rnacentral:rRNA from 1 species
GAUGAACGCUGGCGGCGUGCCUAAUACAUGCAAGUCGAGCGAACGGACGAGAAGCUUGCUUCUCUGAUGUUAGCGGCGGACGGGUGAGUAACACGUGGAUAACCUACCUAUAAGACUGGGAUAACUUCGGGAAACCGGAGCUAAUACCGGAUAAUAUUUUGAACCGCAUGGUUCAAAAGUGAAAGACGGUCUUGCUGUCACUUAUAGAUGGAUCCGCGCUGCAUUAGCUAGUUGGUAAGGUAACGGCUUACCAAGGCAACGAUGCAUAGCCGACCUGAGAGGGUGAUCGGCCACACUGGAACUGAGACACGGUCCAGACUCCUACGGGAGGCAGCAGUAGGGAAUCUUCCGCAAUGGGCGAAAGCCUGACGGAGCAACGCCGCGCGAGUGAUGAAGGUCUUCGGAUCGUAAAACUCUGUUAUUAGGGAAGAACAUAUGUGUAAGUAACUGUGCACAUCUUGACGGUACCUAAUCAGAAAGCCACGGCUAACUACGUGCCAGCAGCCGCGGUAAUACGUAGGUGGCAAGCGUUAUCCGGAAUUAUUGGGCGUAAAGCGCGCGUAGGCGGUUUUUUAAGUCUGAUGUGAAAGCCCACGGCUCAACCGUGGAGGGUCAUUGGAAACUGGAAAACUUGAGUGCAGAAGAGGAAAGUGGAAUUCCAUGUGUAGCGGUGAAAUGCGCAGAGAUAUGGAGGAACACCAGUGGCGAAGGCGACUUUCUGGUCUGUAACUGACGCUGAUGUGCGAAAGCGUGGGGAUCAAACAGGAUUAGAUACCCUGGUAGUCCACGCCGUAAACGAUGAGUGCUAAGUGUUAGGGGGUUUCCGCCCCUUAGUGCUGCAGCUAACGCAUUAAGCACUCCGCCUGGGGAGUACGACCGCAAGGUUGAAACUCAAAGGAAUUGACGGGGACCCGCACAAGCGGUGGAGCAUGUGGUUUAAUUCGAAGCAACGCGAAGAACCUUACCAAAUCUUGACAUCCUUUGACAACUCUAGAGAUAGAGCCUUCCCCUUCGGGGGACAAAGUGACAGGUGGUGCAUGGUUGUCGUCAGCUCGUGUCGUGAGAUGUUGGGUUAAGUCCCGCAACGAGCGCAACCCUUAAGCUUAGUUGCCAUCAUUAAGUUGGGCACUCUAAGUUGACUGCCGGUGACAAACCGGAGGAAGGUGGGGAUGACGUCAAAUCAUCAUGCCCCUUAUGAUUUGGGCUACACACGUGCUACAAUGGACAAUACAAAGGGCAGCGAAACCGCGAGGUCAAGCAAAUCCCAUAAAGUUGUUCUCAGUUCGGAUUGUAGUCUGCAACUCGACUACAUGAAGCUGGAAUCGCUAGUAAUCAUAGAUCAGCAUGCUACGGUGAAUACGUUCCCGGGUCU